rnacentral:rRNA from 1 species
UACGUAGGUGGCAAGCGUUGUCCGGAAUUAUUGGGCGUAAAGCGCGCGCAGGCGGUCCUUUAAGUCUUAUGUGAAAGCCCACGGCUCAACCGUGGAGGGUCAUUGGAAACUGGGGGACUUGAGUGCAGGAGAGAAGAGUGGAAUUCCACGUGUAGCGGUGAAAUGCGUAGAGAUGUGGAGGAACACCAGUGGCGAAGGCGGUACGCUGGACCCUCUCUGACGCUGAGGCGCGAAAGCUAGGGGAGCGAACGGG